rnacentral:rRNA from 1 species
UACAGAGGUCCCAAGCGUUGUUCGGAUUCACUGGGCGUAAAGGGUGCGUAGGUGGUCGGGUAAGUCUGAUGUGAAAUCUCUGGGCUCAACCCAGAAAUGGCAUUGGAUACUAUUCGGCUAGAGGAGUGGAGGGGGGACUGGAAUACUUGGUGUAGCAGUGAAAUGCGUAGAUAUCAAGUGGAACACCAGUGGCGAAGGCGAGUCUCUGGACAGUUCCUGACGCUCAUGCACGAAGGCCAGGGGAGCAAACGGG